rnacentral:snoRNA from 1 species
AUGCAGGUUCUAGCUACAAUGCAGCUGUGAAGUGCUGCACUGUGUUUGUCCCUGCUCAAAAUGAAACUGUUCCUUUCCAGCCCUGACUGCUGUGGUGCUGCCGCAGCCAGGGACGCAGCUCUCAGACAC